AGAGUUUGAUCAUGGCUCAGAUUGAACGCUGGCGGCAUGCUUUACACAUGCAAGUCGAACGGCAGCACGGGGGCAACCCUGGUGGCGAGUGGCGAACGGGUGAGGAAUGCACCGGAACGUAUCUUCAAGUGGGGGAUAACGCAUCGAAAGGUGUGCUAAUACCGCAUAAUCUCUGAGGAGAAAAGCAGGGGAUCGCAAGACCUUGCGCUUUUGGAGCGGCCGAUGCCUGAUUAGCUUGUUGGUGAGGUAAAAGCUCACCAAGGCUCCGAUCAGUAGCUGGUCUGAGAGGACGACCAGCCACACUGGGACUGAGACACGGCCCAGACUCCUACGGGAGGCAGCAGUGGGGAAUUUUGGACAAUGGGGGCAACCCUGAUCCAGCCAUGCCGCGUGAGUGAAGAAGGCCUUCGGGUUGUAAAGCUCUUUCAGCCGGAACGAAACGGUCACGGUCAAUACCCGUGACUACUGACGGUACCGGAAGAAGAAGCACCGGCUAACUACGUGCCAGCAGCCGCGGUAAUACGUAGGGUGCGAGCGUUAAUCGGAAUUACUGGGCGUAAAGCGUGCGCAGGCGGUUUUGUAAGUCAGAUGUGAAAUCCCCGGGCUUAACCUGGGAACUGCGUUUGAAACUGCAAGGCUAGAGUGUGGCAGAGGGGGGUGGAAUUCCGCGUGUAGCAGUGAAAUGCGUAGAGAUGUGGAGGAACACCAAUGGCGAAGGCAGCCCCCUGGGUCAACACUGACGCUCAGGCACGAAAGCAUGGGGAGCAAACAGGAUUAGAUACCCUGGUAGUCCAUGCCCUAAACGAUGUCAACUAGUUGUCGGGUCUUAACGG
rnacentral:rRNA from 1 species